ensembl:lncRNA
UUUUUUUUUUUUUUUUUUUUUUUUUCCAUGAUACAGACAGCAGCAAACAGAAAUACAACAUUUAUUUUUAACUGGUAAAAUACUGGUAGCAUUAUAAUCUGUACAAACACCCAUUUAUAAAUAUGCAAGGAAUGGUGUAGAACUUGGUUACAAGCAUCAAUUGGGUUAAUAGAUUUCAAGGUAUAAGUACACCGCCAUUCAAAAAGUAUUUCAGGUAUGCUGUUCUGGCAAUGAAUUAAGAUCCUAGGAAUUCACACACUAUCAAGACAACAUGAACAUGAUAUAAAUACAUGUACAAACAAAUUAAAAAUUCAUUGUGAUCAUUCAGCAAUGGAAAUUAUUGGUGAACUUGGUAUUAUGAAUAUGGAACACUAUCAGUUUGUAAAGAAAAAGCAUUUCUGUAGAUAUAUUAAUAAAGAAGGAAUGGCUUAAUCUCAUUAAUCUUCUCUUCACAGAUGCUGUGUACAGAGCCCUUAUAUCCUUGGAGCACUGUUGUAUUAGUCCCUGGCAAUCUGUGCUUUUCUGGAAUGUGGUGGGUUUGAGAAUAUGCAACUAUUGGAUUAGUACUGCAUUUUACAUGCUGUGUAAGAUGUAUCAUUCCUACUUUCGUGUCCUAGAAAAUAAACUAAUGUCCAUGGUGUAAUCAAUUUGUACAUAGUAUUUAGUAUGCUAAAAAGGGCUGUACACUUUGGUUUAUUCACAAUCAUUGGUGAACAUCUAAUGUGGGACACGUAGCUCUCCAAGGCUGACAGAAUUCCACUUUUAUUUUCAAGGUAUUGAGAUGUACCUGGCUUCAUGAGCAGUUGCUUCAUUUUUUAUGUUCAGGUGCAGGGAAAAGAACCUCCAAACAUUGAAAAACCCAAAAACAUAUUAUAUGAGCAACCUAGAGCAUUCCUUGCUGUUUAAUAACCCAUGUGCUUAGGAAGGAUUACAGCAAGACAGGUUACCAGUUCCCUGCUGGAAGCACCAGAAGCACACCUUUAAAAAUUGUGUUUUACCACGCAGCAAGGUAGGAAGCCAGGCCAGGAACGCAGCUUGGGUUUUUGAGGAGCACAGGAGGUCGGUGGAAGCAGAUGAAGGGGAGGAACACCCAUGAUGCUUAGACCACAUUCCUGUUGCCUUCAAGGCAAAAUGUUACAUUGGAGGAUAAGACCUGUGCAAGCAACAUUUGCACUUCAAUUCCAUCAAAGCUGUUUACAUUUUCAUGACCUCGUCUGAUACUCUCUUUCUGUCCCUGCUUGGCAGGCGCAGCUCCUACAGAAGCAAAUUCCUGCUUAGAGCAUUUUUAUAAUACUUUCAUCCUCUUUCUCUUUUUCAGUUUAUAUGCUAUUUUCCACCACUUUUCCUUUUAUUUCUGUCUUUUGUGAUGUACCUCUAAUAGUUGCUUUUAUUUUCCUAGCUUUCACCUCUGUAUGAUGUACUUACUUUUCAGUUAUUUUCGUCCCAGCAACAAACAGAUGUUCUUUCUCCUCGUCCUCCUCUUUCUCCUUUUCUUGUAUACUCCCUUCUCCUCCCCUAUGCUGGAAAUUGAGUUUUUCCUUUUUUUUUGUUUCAGUCAGCUGAAUGUUAGCAUGGCCAAGUAAUUUGAACCUAGAAGUGGGGUGGCAGUAAAUUAGACUGUUAUACAGACAGAUGAGGAGCAGCAGGUAUACUUGUACUGUUAAAGCCUGUGUCAGACACACACCAUGAGAAUAUGAAAGGCAGCAGUACCAGACUUUAAAAAUGCUCUGAACCUCUUAUUUACAUCAUCCAUUUCUUUGAAAAACACUCUGUGCUGAUAAUUUUUACUCUGAAUGCAAGAUGAAUUCUGUAAUUUCUUUGCUUUACUAAAACAACUUUUUGUCCCAUGGAAGUCCCAUUUACAUUUUUUUUUUUGCAUAUUUCUUAAGAAGAUAAUCAAAUGCUAAAAAAGGAUACACACAGAAAUAUGUCAGUCAGGUGUAACCAAGUAUAGACACUCUCAGAAAAGGGAAAAACUUUCCAGAUUGUACCGUUGUUCAGCUUAACUUAGUAAUUCCAGAAAAUAUGCUUUAUCAGAGUGAGUUUCUGUCUUCUGCAGCAAGAAACAUCCCCCAUAUUGAAGACAAUGUGAUAAACAUGAAAUCAAUUGGACAGUUUAGUGACCCUGACUGACUUUGAAUUGGAGCAAUCCCUCUGCAGGCUCAGCAUCACUCAGAAGCAGAUGCUGGUGUAGGAGUUUGAGGGAAUUCUUCUCAUCCAUCUGCUACCAAAAGGAAAUUUGAAAGGAAGGCACAGCAGGCUACAUGUGGCAUGCUUUAGUCUGUAUCUUCUCAUAUUAAUUAUCUGAGUCUACAAGAUAUAUGACAACCAGGUUAUUUUCUUAAUCAGUUGUGGGAGCUAUUUAAAUCUCUUUGCCUUUGAAAUCAACAUAGAUAAGUGUAGUCACUGAAGAAAAGAUUUAUUUCUUCCAAUUUCCUCCAGCAUCCCAUCACCACCCCAUCUCAUCAUAGCUCACAAUAGGUGAUGUUGUCCAGACAAUAACUGCAUUUUCUGCUUUCAAGGUUCAGCUAAAGAGAACUGCUUAUCCAGAAAGCGCAAUUCUUCAUACAAAUUGUAUUAGAAAAUCUUUAGAUUUUCAGGUUUUCCAAAACUUGAAGUGUUGCUGCAUACUACAGCUGAUAGUAUAUCUCUCAUAAUAGUAGUAAUUGAGAUUAGCCACACGAGAAUGACAGGUUUAAAUUAGAAACUGUGUUUAGGAUAAGCAUUGAAGUUCUUAUGGAGAAUGUGACUGUAAUAUCCAAACAUCAGAAGGAAUAAAUGAAGAUCUAUUAUCUGUAAAAAAAAAAGAAAAAAAAAAAA